GUUUUGAUUUCUUCAUCGAGGGGUGGUUUCUUCGUGGCCCCUUAUGGACUCUGGCAAACAUCAACAUAGGAGCGCCCCCAGUGCUAUGUCCACUCCGGUAGAAGAUGAACGAUUCGAGCUAGGUGAUCUCGAUGGGACAAAGAAAAGAAUUCGGGAUGUCUUUUUGCCAAGGUAGGAUCACGAUCCUCUUGUCACAGUCCCCUUUAGAUAUCUGGGAGAGUCUAGCCGCCACCUACAUAGCGCUUGAGGCUGCCGACGAUGAGGGGGUCGGUCUCUGUGACCGUCUGUUGCAGGCGGACCACCGUGUCAUGGGUUAGUACUGCUUCCCCUUUCGCGAAGGUCCCUUUUGGAUGUUUUUUUGACUUAUUUCCCUUUCUUCUCGUGUCAUCGCCAGAGCUGGAGUCGAAGGUUGUGGGCCUCCAUGAGGGUGUAGAUGAAGUGGUCGCCUUCGUCCGUGCCCAGGGUGCCGAUCGAGGAGAGUGACUCCUCGACGUUACUAACCGGGUGCGCCUGGCCAUCCGCCGUGGUGCUGCAGGGGCUCUGGCCUUUGUGCAGUUCUAGUCGGGCUAUAAGCUCGACACUAGCGAUCUGUUGGAGGACACGACCGCUGGUGCCCUGGAGGACUUCGAAGAUAACUUUAGCAUAGCUAUUGGGGUUGUGGUUGAAAUCCUUCCACUAGAGGAUGUAAUCAACGAAUCCCCCUAGUUAGGAUGUUUCUGCAAGCUGCUUCUGGGAUAUGUAUGCCCCUAUGCUUUUAUAAUGUUUCCUGAACUUUGUUGAUGGAAUGAUUCUCCUUCCUUUCCUGCCC
rnacentral:lncRNA from 1 species